CAGAGUUUUUGAACUACUUUUUCCAAAUUUGCUCACACUUCCAGCAUAGGACUAUUUUUUUCUGAUACUACAAAGUGACCUGCUGAAAAAUCUGCCAGAAAUUGCAGGAGAACCUGCCUGGCUGGAACUGAAGGGGACUGAAGCAAGAGGUGUUCUGAACAUGGUAGCUCAGCUCAACUGAUGUAAAGAAAUUCACAGAAGUCCAUUUGCCUGGUAAAGCUGCAGUGGGGACAAUUAGUGUCACAGCAAUUACAAUUAUAGGAAUUGGUUCUACAGACUUGGUGCUCUGUCUACUUUAUGCUUGCAUUUGAACACUGCUAAUAUAUGACAGAGAAUAAUUCUGUAUGUAUGAAAUGCAGACUGAUGUUUUCCUUUGUGUCCAGUGUAUGUUUUGCUUCCAAAGGAAGGAAAAUGCAUUAUAAAAAUGUCUUCUUUAUGCUUCCCUGUAAAGUGCUAGCUUCCUGCAUAUCAUGGAUGUAUUUGCAUUUUGUUCAUUUGGAAACUGAGGUUUGGAAUGAAUGGACAUAUCUGAGGUGAGGCAGUAAGUUGGUGUUACAAAUGAGUGUAUGAGAUCACUUUAAAAAAAUCACUGGCAAGGGUAUGAGCAAAAGUCAGAUUUGAUCCUUUUAAGAGACUUUAAAAUCCAUUCCCCUUUAUCCUGCAUAGCAGUGUUACCAUGACAGCUGACAGUCACAGAGAGGACAGCAUACCUGGGUUAUUAUGAGCUUGGUUAAAAAUUGUAACUCAGUGAAGUUCCCUAUCCUGCAGUCAAAGGUACUGCUGGAAACACCGCCAUCCCUCUUUGCCCUGCACUCCAUCCCCUGUUCAUGUAAUUAUAU